UACGGAGGGUGCAAGCGUUAAUCGGAAUUACUGGGCGUAAAGCGCACGCAGGUGGCUGAGUCAGUCGAUUGUGAAAGCCCUGGGCUUAACCUGGGAAUUGCAGUCGAUACUACUCAGCUAGAGUAUGGGAGAGGGCAGUGGAAUUCCCGGUGUAGCGGUGAAAUGCGUAGAUAUCGGGAGGAACAUCAGUGGCGAAGGCGGCUGCCUGGCCCAAUACUGACACUCAGGUGCGACGAGCGUGG
rnacentral:rRNA from 1 species